CUUAAAUUAGGCUGUAUAUGUUAUAUGUGUUGUAGUUUGACCAAUAAGAUAAAAGUUAAGUACAUAUUUGUUGGGUCCAUAAGGUAGAUAAGGAGGUCAUGUAAUAAGUGGUGACAAACAUGAAGUCCCUCGUGUAUUUGGUAGUUAAAUUUCGAGGACGAAAUUUCUUUAAGGAGGGUAGAAUGUAAUACCCGGUAAAAAUAUACAUAUAUUUUAAAUUUUAUUUGUUAUACAAUUUGUGUGAGAAUAAAUAUUCAUUUAUUUCUACUAAUAGUGAAUAGAGACUAUUGCUUAGAAUAGUAUUGAUAGAUUUCUAAACAUAGUUGAAAUUAUAGUAAGUGUCAAGGUAAAAUUAUGGUGUUUUUACGAAUUAGGAUAAUUACUCAAUUAAAGCCCAAUAUGAAAGUCUAUUAGAGUUUUAUAGAUUAUUUAGUGGGUUUAAUCUAUUGUAUGAAGUGCAUUAAAUAACAUUAUAAUGGAAUUAAUGUCACAAAAAUUCGUAGGUUUUGAUAAAUUCGAAGGAUUAAAAACUGUUUUACUAAAAUGAUCAUAUCUAGAGUUUUAGAGCUCCGAUUGAGGUGAUUCCAGUGGCGUUGGAAAGAUAAUUCAAAGAUCUAUAAAUUUUGUAGAAAUAGUUAUAUCAUAAUUCGGAAUUUUUCUAGGUGAAAACUGAGCCUAAAGUUACGAAAUAAAGGGCUUACUUUUAAAAUUUAAAAAUUUAGAUAUUUGUUGAUUUAAUAAUAUUUUAGCAUUUUAUUAUAUAUUAUUAUUUUUAGUUAACCUAAACCUAUCAGAAUACGAUAUCUCAUAAUCUUUUUAUCAAACCCUAAACUAUCAUAGUUUUAUUUUUCCUCUCCAAACCAAUUAGUCAAAGCCUCAUUCUUCUUCAUGUUUGCUCCUCUCAAACCUUCCACAAUUCUUCUUAUUUUCUACCUUCAUUCUUAAAGUUUUGGAUUUAUAAUCAAGGCUUGCGGGCUUGAGACAUCGAAUAGAAAUAUGUGAAGAGGUAGUAGUGACGAGAUAACAAGUCUUAAGCAGUGGGAUUUGAGGAUCUUGUCCUCAACAAGAAAAUUUAUUGAGGUGCUUGGAGUAGCAAGAAGGUGUUCUUAACAACUGAGGCAAAGACAAAACUAAACAGUGAGGAUGGCGAGCUCGAGGCGUGGAUUACAUGUUAGGGGAUUGUCACGAUGUUUUGGUUUAAAAAUAUUUCGUUAAAGAUUAUGAUUCAAAUAGUUUUUGUAAAGCUUUAUAUUUUAAGGUUAUGAAUAAAUAAAUGUUUUGUUUUAAAAAUAAUGAGAUCUCAUGCUUAGUUAUUUUUCAUUAAAGAAGUCUUUUAUUGUCUUUAUCUUAAAUGGUUUUAAACGGACUAGCUAGUGUGACGUCUCGGGAAAUCGGGACGUUACAAUAUGGUAUCAGAGCAAUACGGUCCUAAAGGAUGUGGUUGACCCUAACAUGUAA